AUGGCAGCCAUUCUCAAGCCAUCCAUGUCAGCUGUGAAUAGUGGCCGAGCAGGCAGCCACAAGUGGCCAAGAGGGAAGCGACGAGAGGAGCGAGCAGAGAGAAAAAGGGUCCACACCGCUAUGUCCUGCGAGAGCGAGAAAAUAUUUCCUCUCUUCUCCCUCCUCCCCUCCUCUUCUCCAUGCCGCCACCGCCGCCUCCUCCUCUUCCCCAUCCCUCACGCCCGCCUCGCCCCCUCUGCCUUCAGUGCCUCCUCCUACCCUUCCUAUCCUACUUCCCUGCCCCCGCGUCCAUCCUCCUCCCCGCGCUCCCAUGUAUUAGUCGCCGCCUCUUCCCUGCCUCCCCAUCUCGCCCGAAACACCGCUCUUGGAGCCCUUCCCAGUCCACGGUGGAGCCCCCAUCCCAGCUUCGCGUCUGUGAUCCGCGACAAUGGAGGGGUGGAUCGAUGA
rnacentral:rRNA from 1 species